UACGUAGGUGACAAGCGUUAUCCGGAUUUAUUGGGCGUAAAGCGCACGCAGGCGGCUGAUUAAGUCUGACGUGAAAUCUCUCGGCUUAACCGGGAGCGGUCGUUGGAAACUAAUUGGCUUGAGGCGAUGAGAGGGGUGUGGAAUUCCCGGUGUAGUGGUGGAAUGCGUAGAUAUCGGGGGGAACAUCAGUGGCGAAGGCGGCACUCUGGGCCGGUACUGACGCUGAGGAGCGAAAGCGUGGGGAGCGAACAGG
rnacentral:rRNA from 1 species